rnacentral:siRNA from 1 species
AUAUAUGGAGUAUCUUAUGUA